CUUUGGAUGUUUUUUUUUUUUUUUUUAAAUGAAUCUUGAAAGUUUCAACUUUGCAGAAACAUUCGGAGAACUUUCUGUGCAAUAGUUAUAGAUUUUGUAUAGCUUGAUCAAAGUACCACCUGUACUGAGAUAUCGUUUUAUAAAAUUUUUGUAUAUCCACUUUGAUUUGUUGGAAUAUUUUAAGUUCGAAUAACUUUUAUUUAGAUGUUAAAAUUUCGAGAAAACGUCCGAAGAGACUAAUAAUGCGUUUUGCGACACGAAAACGUCACGAGUAUUUCAUAGAGAAAAUAUUAGAGAGUGUGUGAGAAACAGAGCAAGCAUGAUGAAUGAAGAAACGAAGAAAGCACAAUAAUUACAAUUCCACGUGUCCUAUCGUUAACGAUAAUAAAAUUUUUUUUGUUAUUCCCGUUUUUUUUCGAGAAAAUGCCAACAGAGUGAAAGGACAAGAAAGAUAGAGGAUGAAUGAAUGAAUGAGAGUGAGAGAGAAGUAAAAAUGCAUAAAAAAGGAAACGCAGAUACUUCAGUUCAUACUUGAGAGUUUUAGUUUAUUAAUUUACUUAAUAUUAAUAAAAAAAAACGAAUGGAAUGAUAAUAACACUAAUAUCAUUGUAAUAAUGAUUAUUAUAUAUAUAUAUAUUGCUAUUAUUAUAAAACUGUUUGUAAUAUAUAUUUUAAUUUUGAAAAAACAGCGUGUUGUUUGUUUUUUGUGUACAUUUGUCUGACUGUAUUUCCUUUUUUUUUUCUUCGAUCUUUUUCAUUCUCCGUUUUAUCCCUGAUUUCUUAACAAAAAACAAAUACUGACCAUCCACUGUGUGUACAACGCGAUAUAACACACAAUGCUGCCCAUUGUGUUAGCUGUGCAUAAUUGUUGCAUGCCACACAUACAAAGGAAAGUCGAUCUACCAAUGAUGAAAUGGUAACUGAGAAGGAGAAAUACAAGGAGAUCGGAGAUGGAUUGGAUCAAGCGUUCCAAGAACUCUAUGGCGUCUAACGAGCCACUAACCAACCCCUCUAACGCUUCGACCAAACAAAUAAAAA